GCAUCUAUACUGUGAAACUGCGAAUGGCUCAUUAAAUCAGUUAUCGUUUAUUUGAUAGUACCUUACUACAUGGAUACCUGUGGUAAUUCUAGAGCUAAUACAUGCUAAAAACCCCGACUUCAGGAAGGGGUGUAUUUAUUAGAUAAAAAACCAACGCCCUUCGGGGCUCCUUGGUGAAUCAUAAUAACUUAACGAAUCGCAUGGCCUUGCGCCGGCGAUGGUUCAUUCAAAUUUCUGCCCUAUCAACUUUCGAUGGUAGGAUAGUGGCCUACCAUGGUGGCAACGGGUAACGGGGAAUUAGGGUUCGAUUCCGGAGAGGGAGCCUGAGAAACGGCUACCACAUCCAAGGAAGGCAGCAGGCGCGCAAAUUACCCAAUCCCGAUACGGGGAGGUAGUGACAAUAAAUACUGAUACGGGGCUCUUUUGGGUCUCGUAAUUGGAAUGAGAACAAUUUAAAUCCCUUAACGAGGAACAAUUGGAGGGCAAGUCUGGUGCCAGCAGCCGCGGUAAUUCCAGCUCCAAUAGCGUAUAUUAAAGUUGUUGCAGUUAAAAAGCUCGUAGUUGAACCUUGGCCCUGGCUGGCCGGUCCGCCUCACCGCGAGUACUGGUCCGGCUGGGGCUUUCCUUCUGGGGAACCUCAUGGCCUUCACUGGCUGUGGGGGGAACCAGGACUUUUACUGUGAAAAAAUUAGAGUGUUCAAAGCAGGCCUUUGCUCGAAUACAUUAGCAUGGAAUAAUAGAAUAGGACGUGCGGUUCUAUUUUGUUGGUUUCUAGGACCGCCGUAAUGAUUAAUAGGGAUAGUCGGGGGCGUCAGUAUUCAGCUGUCAGAGGUGAAAUUCUUGGAUUUGCUGAAGACUAACUACUGCGAAAGCAUUCGCCAAGGAUGUUUUCAUUAAUCAGGGAACGAAAGUUAGGGGAUCGAAGACGAUCAGAUACCGUCGUAGUCUUAACCAUAAACUAUGCCGACUAGGGAUCGGACGGGAUUCUAUGAUGACCCGUUCGGCACCUUACGAGAAAUCAAAG
rnacentral:rRNA from 1 species